rnacentral:tmRNA from 1 species
GGGACCGACCUGGCUUCGACGUGGGUGCGGAUUUGGACUAGGGCAUGCCGAGCACCAGUUCGCUCGUAAAACCACUGGAAACAAAGUAACUGCGAACGACUCU